rnacentral:misc_RNA from 1 species
GUCCUAGUCUCAGCCAAAAUCAGAGACGAAUUAUCAACGGUGGAUUCCACCAGAUUCCUCCCCGUGGCCUUCCACAGUUCCACCGCACUAACGAACUCUCCCCGCCCAACAUGGAAGCGUAGAGAGUGGAGGUGGGAAGAAUCGUUAGCGGCAUAGGAAGAAUGGAGAAGAAGAAAAAGGGAAAAGAGAAAAGGGAAAGUGAAGAAUUGCAUAACAGCAGAGUGUGAUUGAUUUGGGUUAAGGAUCGUAGAGUGGGGGAGUUGCAAGGUUUUGAAACACAGAG